CUGUGAUUGUGUGUCCAUGAGGCCGAAUGCAUUUUGCACGGGAUAUAUAGAAAGAUGGAACUGCAGAUGAAAGAGUUAGUUACUAUUAUCGGUUGUUGUCAUAUAUAAGCUGUCCUGUUGUAAAGAGGCAAUUGCUAUUGCAUUGUGGGAUACUUGGCCAAAUAUCAUGGCUUGAUUUUUU